rnacentral:lncRNA from 1 species
CUGCAUGAAGAUUAUUCUGUUCACUGUUAAGUGCUUCUGUGGCCAUUGCAACAUGCUGGAGAGGAGUCCUGGGCUCUUGGGAGACGGCUGCUACUACCAGCCUGAAAGAAAGUGUCUGAUUUUCCCUUCCCUCGAGAGAAAAGGAAAUGACUGCAAUUUUGCAGCUAUAAUGAAGACAGGAAAGAAAAAACAUGUUCACUGUCUGUGUGGUUAUCGAACAAAGAAGUAUGAGGACAUAUGGUGGCAGAGUGUGAAACAGUAUAUUACAAGCCUCCAGAUAAAAGCACUUAAAGAAAGCUCGCUGGUCUCACUGUCUUUGCUCAUCCCCAGUGACAGUUUUACUGCCAAUUACUGUUACUUGUUGCUGCCUUACUUCUUGCUGUGUGGUACACUGCUUCCACCUAUUUGCUGCUUCCUAAUGGAAGUGCUGUAA